AGAAGCUUGGUCAUAUGAAAAGAAAGGGGAAAAGCUAUGGUAACUGUGCUCCCAACACUUGUUAUAGGGUCGAUGUUGCAGAAGACAACAAAUGCAAGUAAUUUGGUUCUCAUUAAGCUGCUGAAAGAUAGCUUUUACUUUUGUUGUUUAUCCAUCAUUAAUUCUUGCUUAUAUGGGACAAGCUGCGUAUCUUUUCAAGCAUCACAUUAUUGAAAGUGAUUACCACAUUGGCUUCUAUGUAUCAGUACCUG